rnacentral:rRNA from 1 species
CCGGCGAUGUCCGAAUGGGGAAACCCAGUGCAAUUCGUUGCACUAUCGUUAACUGAAUACAUAGGUUAACGAGGCGAACCGGGGGAACUGAAACAUCUAAGUACCCCGAGGAAAAGAAAUCAACCGAGAUUCCCCCAGUAGCGGCGAGCGAACGGGGAGCAGCCCAGAGUCUGAAUCAGCUUGUGUGUUAGUGGAACGGUCUGGAAAGUCCGACGGUACAGGGUGAUAGUCCCGUACACCAAAAUGCACAGGUUGUGAACUCGAAGAGUAGGGCGGGACACGUGGUAUCCUGUCUGAAUAUGGGGGGACCAUCCUCCAAGGCUAAAUACUCCUGACUGACCGAUAGUGAACCAGUACCGUGAGGGAAAGGCGAAAAGAACCCCGGCGAGGGGAGUGAAAAAGAACCUGAAACCGUGUACGUACAAGCAGUGGGAGCACCUUUAUGGUGUGACUGCGUACCUUUUGUAUAAUGGGUCAGCGACUUAUAUUCUGUAGCAAGGUUAACCGUAUAGGGGAGCCGCAGGGAAACCGAGUCUUAACUGGGCGUUAAGUUGCAGGGUAUAGACCCGAAACCCGGUGAUCUAGCCAUGGGCAGGUUGAAGGUUGGGUAACACUAACUGGAGGACCGAACCGACUAAUGUUGAAAAAUUAGCGGAUGACUUGUGGCUGGGGGUGAAAGGCCAAUCAAACCGGGAGAUAGCUGGUUCUCCCCGAAAGCUAUUUAGGUAGCGCCUCGUGAACUCAUCUUCGGGGGUAGAGCACUGUUUCGGCUAGGGGGUCAUCCCGACUUACCAACCCGAUGCAAACUACGAAUACCGAAGAAUGUUAUCACGGGAGACACACGGCGGGUGCUAACGUCCGUCGUGAAGAGGGAAACAACCCAGACCGCCAGCUAAGGUCCCAAAGUCAUGGUUAAGUGGGAAACGAUGUGGGAAGGCACAGACAGCCAGGAUGUUGGCUUAGAAGCAGCCAUCAUUUAAAGAAAGCGUAAUAGCUCACUGGUCGAGUCGGCCUGCGCGGAAGAUGUAACGGGGCUAAACCAUGCACCGAAGCUGCGGCAGCGACACUAUGUGUUGUUGGGUAGGGGAGCGUUCUGUAAGCCUGCGAAGGUGGCCUGUGAGGGCUGCUGGAGGUAUCAGAAGUGCGAAUGCUGACAUAAGUAACGAUAAAGCGGGUGAAAAGCCCGCUCGCCGGAAGACCAAGGGUUCCUGUCCAACGUUAAUCGGGGCAGGGUGAGUCGACCCCUAAGGCGAGGCCGAAAGGCGUAGUCGAUGGGAAACAGGUUAAUAUUCCUGUACUUGGUGUUACUGCGAAGGGGGGACGGAGAAGGCUAUGUUAGCCGGGCGACGGUUGUCCCGGUUUAAGCAUGUAGGCGGAGGUUCCAGGUAAAUCCGGUACCUUUUAACGCUGAGGUGUGAUGACGAGGCACUACGGUGCUGAAGUAACAAAUGCCCUGCUUCCAGGAAAAGCCUCUAAGCAUCAGGUAACAU